rnacentral:rRNA from 1 species
UACGUAGGGUGCAAGCGUUGUCCGGAAUUAUUGGGCGUAAAGAGCUCGUAGGCGGUUUGUCGCGUCGGCUGUGAAAACUCGGGGCUCAACCCCGAGCCUGCAGUCGAUACGGGCAGACUAGAGUGCGGUAGGGGAGACUGGAAUUCCUGGUGUAGCGGUGAAAUGCGCAGAUAUCAGGAGGAACACCGGUGGCGAAGGCGGGUCUCUGGGCCGUAACUGACGCUGAGGAGCGAAAGCAUGGGGAGCGAACAGG